AGAUAAUUUUUACUGUGUGAUAUGUAUGUCAUUUUAAAGUACCAAAUAAUUUCAAAUAUCAUAACUUAAGAACCAAUUAAUAACAACUUAUCCACAAGAUAUACUUUGGUAGUGUUCAAAAAAAGAUAUACUUUGGUAUACAUCUAUUUAGUUUUAUAGGUACUAAUCAACUCCAGCCAAAAGUAGAAGGGCAAGAACUGAUCCUUCCAGGUCUGAUCAUGCCUAUAUAAACACCAACACAAAAGGCAUAGGUUGACAAGUGCAAACUACAAAGGAUACUUGCACAUACGUAGAAAUAAAGAAACAAGAAACCAUUCCUCAUGGAACUUAUCAAGAACAACACAAGAGCCCUACUCUUGGUAGCUCUUGUGAUGAUGUCUACCACCCUAUUAUCAUGCCAUGCAGGUUCAACAAAACCAAUCCCCCUGAACUUGUGUGUGCGUCUUGCAAGCUGUGAGAAAGGCCAUGAAUCCGAAGAGGCGUGCAGGAACCACUGCUCAUUUUUCGAAUUCAAAAAGAGCCACUGUGAACCAGUCAAUGGUGGUUCUUGCUGCUGCUCUAAUUAAACGCCGUAGAAACAAUGGAUGGGCCGUGCUAAUAAAUCGAUGCGUGUAAGAUAGGCUCAAGAUACAUGCGGACCAUGAAUCUGUCUAGUUCAUGAGAAAUUUUCAAUGAAGUAUUUAUCAGAAA